rnacentral:rRNA from 1 species
ACUAGGUUUCAACAACGGAUCUCUUGGCUCUCGCAUCGAUGAAGAACGCAGCGAAAUGCGAUAAGUAAUGUGAAUUGCAGAAUUCAGUGAAUCAUCGAAUCUUUGAACGCACCUUGCGCUCCUUGGUAUUCCUUGGAGCAUGCCUGUUUGAGUAUCAUGAAAU